UACGGAGGGGGCUAGCGUUGUUCGGAAUUACUGGGCGUAAAGCGCGCGUAGGCGGACCUGCAAGUCGGGGGUGAAAGCCCGAGGCUCAACCUCGGAACUGCCUUCGAUACUGCGGGUCUCGAGUCCGGGAGAGGUGAGUGGAAUUCCUAGUGUAGAGGUGAAAUUCGUAGAUAUUGGGAAGAACACCAGUGGCGAAGGCGGCUAACUGGUCCAGUACUGACGCUGAGGUGCGAAAGCGUGGGGAGCAAACAGG
rnacentral:rRNA from 1 species